UGCCCCCUCGUCUAAUGGCAGGACAGCAGUUUCUGGCACUGCAUGUCGGGGUUCGAAUCCCUGGGGGGCAACCA
rnacentral:tRNA from 1 species